ensembl:snRNA U6 U6 spliceosomal RNA
GUGCUUGCUUUGGCAGCACAUAUACUAAAAUUCAAACAAUACGGAGAAGAUUAGCAUGGCCCCUGUGCAAGGAUGACAUACAAAUUAAUGAAGGGUUCCAAUUAAAA